rnacentral:rRNA from 1 species
AUUGAACGCUGGCGGCAGGCUUAACACAUGCAAGUCGAGCGGAGAUGAGGUGCUUGCACCCUAUCUUAGCGGCGGACGGGUGAGUAAUGCUUAGGAAUCUGCCUAUUAGUGGGGGACAACAUUCCGAAAGGAAUGCUAAUACCGCAUACGUCCUACGGGAGAAAGCAGGGGAUCUUCGGACCUUGCGCUAAUAGAUGAGCCUAAGUCGGAUUAGCUAGUUGGUGGGGUAAAGGCCUACCAAGGCGACGAUCUGUAGCGGGUCUGAGAGGAUGAUCCGCCACACUGGGACUGAGACACGGCCCCGACUCCUACGGGAGGCAGCAGUGGGGAAUAUUGGACAAUGGGGGGAACCCUGAUCCAGCCAUGCCGCGUGUGUGAAGAAGGCCUUAUGGUUGUAAAGCACUUUAAGCGAGGAGGAGGCUACUGAGACUAAUACUCUUGGAUAGUGGACGUUACUCGCAGAAUAAGCACCGGCUAACUCUGUGCCAGCCGCCGCCGUAAGAC